UCGAUAUGGAACAAUUAACAGCAAAAAUGAAAGAAAACAAUGCCUUACCGAUGAAGUUUGAAAAAUGGGAAAAUGUAAUUGCUUGCCCUGGAAUUGCAAUGAGUAGAAUCCAAUUUAAAGGAAUAAUAUUUAAAAACAGGAAGAAGAAAAUUGUUUCGGAAGAACUCAGAUUUAUCCAGAUAAUAAAACACAGAUGGAUAUCGACGACGUAUUAAAUGCAACACUAUGAUUAAUUUCAAAAAA
rnacentral:lncRNA from 1 species